UACGUAGGUGGCGAGCGUUGUCCGGAUUUACUGGGCGUAAAGGGAGCGUAGGCGGACUUUUAAGUGAGAUGUGAAAUACCCGGGCUCAACUUGGGUGCUGCAUUUCAAACUGAAAGUCUAGAGUGCAGGAGAGGAGAAUGGAAUUCCUAGUGUAGCGGUGAAAUGCGUAGAGAUUAGGAAGAACACCAGUGGCGAAGGCGAUUCUCUGGACUGUAACUGACGCUGAGGCUCGAAAGCGUGGGGAGCAAACAGGGAUUAGAUACCCCCGUA
rnacentral:rRNA from 1 species